rnacentral:rRNA from 1 species
AUUGAACGCUGGCGGCAGGCCUAACACAUGCAAGUCGAGCGGAGCGGCGGACGGGUGAGUAAUGCCUAGGAAGCUGCCCGUUGGUGGGGGAUAACGUCCGGAAACGGGCGCUAAUACCGCAUGCUAUCAGAGGAGCCUAGGUCGGAUUAGCUAGUUGGUGGGGUAAAGGCCUACCAAGGCGACGAUCCGUAACUGGUCUGAGAGGAUGAUCAGUCACACUGGAACUGAGACACGGUCCAGACUCCUACGGGAGGCAGCAGUGGGGAAUAUUGGACAAUGGGCGAAAGCCUGAGCCAGCCAUGCCGCGUGUGUGAAGAAGGUCUUCGGAUCGUAAAGCACUUUAAGUUGGGAAGCGUUAUCAACAGAAUAAGCACCGGCUAACUUCGUGCCAGCAGCCGCGGUAAUAC